GAUGAAGAACGUAGCGAAAUGCGAUACGUAAUGUGAAUUGCAGAAUUCAGUGAAUCAUCGAGUCUUUGAACGCACAUUGCGCCCACUGGUAUUCCGGGGGGCAUGCCUGUCCGAGCGUCAUUGCUGCCCUCAAGCACGGCUUGUGUGUUGGGCCUCCGUCCUCCUCCCGGGGGACGGGCCCGAAAGGCAGCGGCGGCACCGCGUCCGGUCCUCGAGCGUAUGGGGCUUCGUCACCCGCUCUUGUAGGCCCGGCCGGCGCUUGCCGACACAUCAAUCUUUUUUCCAGGUUGACCUCGGAUCAGGUAGGGAUACCCGCUGAACUUAAGCAUAUCAAUAAGCGGAGGA
rnacentral:misc_RNA from 1 species